CAGAACUUUGCAGGAGCAGCAGCCGCCACAGAUCUUCCUCCUAUAAGUGAUCACUGGAGCUAAAGGAGAAUCAUCAUUAGAUGUAAGCAGUAUAGGGCCUCUGAGACAUAGCUGCAAAAGUGGUCUUGAGGGUCUCUCCAUCCACACCAGCAGAGCGGCUCAGCCAGAAAAGGAGAAAGAAGAGGACAAGGGAAGACAUGUUCCAGGAAAUCUUGAGCCUCGGUGCUUUGGAUACUGAGCAGAGGGCUUGGAGGAUGAUGCUCGAGGACACAAUGGACAGGGAUAGUGAAGACAGGAGAAACAGGCAGCAAGAGAUUAUAACACUUCUCAGGGAGCAAACAGACAUGCUGCAGUCUCUGACUGAUCUUCAGGCUCAACAGAUCUGUGCUUGCCUCCCCCUGCAGCCCACAGAGAACUGCAUUCCAGGACCUCCCUACACACUCCUUCCUUUACUACAUGGCAUCUGGGGCCAGUGCCAUACCCCUACCACUCCACCCUGGGGGAAGAGUACAGACAAUCACAGCUGCACAUACAUCAACUGUGUCUCUCACAGGCAAAAGCUGCUGCAAAUGUAUAAAAACCCUGGGACACGAUCCUUCUUCAUCUCAGAUCUGCUUUGGGUUUGAAGAAGGGGAAACCCUAAGCCACAAGAAUUGAGAUCCCCAGUCAUUGACUGGAGUCACCUGAAUAUGGACAUUGGACUAUAACCUCUGGACUAUUUCUAAAAGGACUUUUGGCAACUACAAGCUCAUCUCUGCUAUGGAUCUGGACCUCAAGAAUUGAAUUCAAGUCUGUCUGGAUAUUGAUCUUUUAACCAACACUCUCUCUCUUUUCUUUUUUUAAUACAUUUUAGUUUAGUUAAUAAGAAUUGAUUGUAAGCGUGUAUUUGGGGUAAGAUCUAAGUUAUUAUUUUACCUGGGUCUGGGGCUUGGUCCUUUGGGGUCAGGAGAACCUUUUCUUUUAUAUGAUGAAAUAAGAGUUUCAGAAUUUAUCAUCAUACGUUUGACAUGUGUGCCUGG